rnacentral:rRNA from 1 species
GACAGAGGGUGCAAACGUUGUUCGGAAUUACUGGGCGUAAAGCGCGUGUAGGCGGCUAAGUAAGUCGGGCGUGAAAUCCCACGGCUCAACCGUGGAAGUGCACUCGAAACUGCGUAGCUAGAGUCCUGGAGAGGAAGGUGGAAUGCUUGGUGUAGAGGUGAAAUUCGUAGAUAUCAAGCGGAACACCGGUGGCGAAGGCGGCCUUCUGGGACAGUCG